UCCUUGGUGGCUCAACGGGUAGAGAAUCUGCCUGCAAUGCAGGAAACCUGGGUUCGAUCCUUGGGUUAGGAA
rnacentral:tRNA from 1 species